rnacentral:misc_RNA from 1 species
UUAAGUUCAGCGGGUAUCCCUACCUGAUCCGAGGUCAACCGGUAAAAAUUGGUCUUGACCAGCGCCGCCGGGCCUUGAAGCGGUAUAAAUCCAUCACGCUCGGGCACCAAAACGGACGCCGCCACUGCCUUUGAGGCCCGUCCACGGGGGACGAGGCCCAACACACCAGCCGCGCUUGAAGGUUGCAAUGACGCUCGGAC